rnacentral:rRNA from 1 species
GACGAACGCUGGCGGCGUGCCUAAUACAUGCACGUAGAACGCAGUUGCGAACGGGUGAGUAACGCGUAGGUAACGGCCUCAUAGCGGGGGUUAACUAUUGGUAACGAUAGCUAAUACACAAUCCUGUGAGAUGGACCUGAGUUGUAUUAGCUAGUUGGUGAGGUAAAGGCUCACCAAGGCGACGAUACAUAGCCGACCUGUGAGGGGGCUCGGCCACACUGGGACUGAUACACGGCCCAGACUCCUACGGGAGGCAGCAGCAGAGAAUCUUCGGCAAUGUACGGAAGCCUGACCGAGCAACGCCGCGUGAGUGAAGAAGUUUUUCGGAUCGUAAAGCUCUGUUGUUAGAGAAGCGGUAUCUACCCAGAAAGGGACGGCUAACUACGUGCCAGCAGCCGCGGUAAUAC